AAAAUAUGGCAGUUAUAUUUAAUGAAAUAUUAGAAGUAAUCCAUUGUCAUACAGCAUUUAUCUCUGUUUAUGAUACAUUCAUAAGAAUCUCUUUUUUUUUAACCCUUGCAGAGCAUGUUCUUUCAGGUCAUAUUCAUUUAUCUCACUCUCUCUGUCUUUCUAUAUAUAUAUCUAUAUAUAUAUAUACAUUUAUAAAUUAUAUAUUUAGUUUGGCUUUUUUCUGGCUCACUUAUUUACAGUCCAACAAGAUACCACAAGUGUUUUUCCGCACGCACAACAUCAAGACAACAGCGCAAUGUGGCCUCUACAAGUCUACAAGCAGGAAUCGGGGUAGAAUGGGAACUGUGACGCGCAGGGCGGGGCUUAAACCCUGACUUCUCACCUCGAAAUGCAGAGGAACACUGAGACAGACAGAGUUGGCAACAGACUCUUAUCAGGAGGACUUUUGCAAUUUGUACUGCCAGAGGUGAAGUCGCACGGGAGAGAGGAGACACUGAUGAUCAGCCGAUCAGCAGGAUGACUCACCUCACCCUGCUUACAGAAGAUCGAGUGUCAGUUUGGUAUCUCGGCUUCAAGUGAACAUAAAUCACUGCAGGGUGAAGCUGAGUUAUUGUGUCUUGUAAAGGCAGAGUCUGCAGCAAAUGUCAGACAUGCAGCAAACCGCAUGUAUGAGCUGGAAAACUUUCCAGGUUGUGGAUAUACAUGCAACCACUGCUGUGGAUGGACAUGUGUAGCUUUUAUAAGAGUUAUAUGUCAGCAGAAGCCUGAAGAAAAUCUAGCAGUGCACUAAUACACCAAUGCAUAUCAUUAGUCUGACAGUGAUUUUCAGACAUAGAAACGUAACACGUGUAAACAUAACUAAAGUGCAAAAUGUAGAAAAAAAGUAGAAUUGCUUAUCAAAUUCAAGCACAUCAGCCAUCUUAACAAAUUAAUAGAAAUAGCAUAAACUAAAUAUAAUAUAUAAAUAAAUGUAACAUACAAAAACAGAAGUCAUACACUGGCACUGGUAUGAAGUAAACAGUUUAGCUUCAGCGUCCACAAGGCUGAAUCUGACUACUAACAUUAAAAGGCAAUAGCAUGCAGGCCAGGGGUUUUAAGACACCAAACCAAACUUUUCAGUUCAUUAGCUUCUUAGUUUCAGUCUGUUACUCCACUGAAAUUCAGCUGCUGAACACACACACUUACACAUACACACACCCAUAAAGGCUUCAGUGUCUGCUGUGUCCCCACAAAAGACUUAGAUCAGACUCAGAGUUUGGACUAGCAACUUAUGGCAUUGUUUUAUCGAGCAGAAUUCAACAGCGAGGCAUCAUCACAUUCAAACUCAUGGUUUUAAAAUGACAUCAGAAUCGUAAUAGUGCCUUAAGGAUCAAAAAAAUAAAUAAAAAGCCCUCUCAUCCUUUGGACUCUUUCCUCAUCAGUUCCCUUCGUUAUGUAGGAUUGUUGCUUCUUCUUUCGAAUUAGAGGUAAGUUGAUGCUACAUCUGUUUUUAAUUCUAGUCUUACAUACAUGCAGCAUCCCCACAAACGAAGCCACGCUUGCACAUUUUGGAGACAAUUCUGAGCAUUUGAAAAACUCAAACAUACAAAAACAACUUAUUAUAGCAUAAAAGACAUUUUUAAUGUUAUCCUAUAAAUGUGGUUAUUAGAACUGAGAGCAGCAGGAGUUGUGAGCAUAUUUGAAAAAAUUGCUUCCAGUGCUCUCUGGUGGACAAAUGACUAACUGGAGACGCAGUUUUUAAAAUUACGCCAAAUAUAUUUUAGUGUAACUUACUGGCUGACAUCAUGUAUACACCCAUUAAAGGCCUCACAUCAGGGUUUAAAUUACAGUUUUUCCAACUGUAAUUACUGAUCACAUCCACAAUUUGUUUACUGUGAGAUCUGUAAUUUCCCCUAAAGUUCCCUAACAGAACUUUUAGUUUCAGCAACUCUGUAACUCCGUUAUGGACAGAGUGUAGGACAGGUCGAAUAAAAUGUCUGGGACUGACUGUGAUUGCUGAGUUCACCUAACUAGCUCAGGUACAGUCGUGUGAAAAAUAAAGAACACCCACACUAAGUUUUACAGUUUUGCACAUCUGGUCCUUACCAGAUCCUUAAAUGAGGUAACUACAACCUGAUGUGAAAAAUAACACAUGCAUUAUUACACCAUGUCAUUAUUUACUUAACUAAAACUAAGCCAAAAAUACAGAUGCAGUGUGUGUACACCCUCACUGCUUCCACAGAAGUAGCAACCGGAUGCUGUUAAUCAAAUGCACUUCAUUAACUGAUCAUCAGGAAGUGUGAGCAAUUCUCUGAAAGGAAAAGGUUUUGCCGCUUGUUUGCAUUAACACACUGCCAAGGAGCAAAGACUUCUGCAAAGUUCAUAGAGAAGAGUUAUAAUGCGAUUUCCAAACAAUUUGAAGUCUGUCAUUCAACAGUGAGAAAGAUUAAUCUCAAGGGGAAAACAUUUUUCAGUCGUCCCAGGAGUGGACAUCCUGGCAAAUUCACCCCAAAGUCUGGCUGUGCCGUGUUUACAGAAACUGAAAAAAACAAAGAGCUAAAUCUGAGACUCUACAGGCCUCAGUUAGCAUGUUAAAUAUUACAGUUCACAUGUAGAUCACAGAUCACAAGACAUCUGGAACAAUGCCGUUUGGACAGAUGAGACUAAAGUGGAGGUGUUUGGCCAUAAUGCACAGCACCAUGUUUGGAGAAAACCAAACAAAGCAAAUUAACACAAAUAUGUCACACCAACUGUCCAGUACAGGAGUGGAGGUGUGAUGAUGUUGGUCUGUGUUGCAGCCACAUGAAAAGAUUUUCACCACAACAAUGUGAGAGACUGAUUCCGUCAUGGAGAAAACAAUUACGUCCGAUUACUGAUGCUUAAAGAUGGCUACUGGACCAUGGGGUAUACUUGGUUAUUCACAUCCUGCUUCUGCAUUUCAGCUUAUUUUUUUUAAUAACAACACAGUGUAAUACGUCAUGCGUUGGUAUUCACCUGAGGCUAUAUAUACAUUAUUUUAGAAUCUGGUAAGACCAUGUGACUUUUUAAUAUGUCCUGACGUGUUUUCUGACCUUAGAGUUGAAAGAGGGUGUGCUUUCUUUAUACCAGGACUGUAAGUACAGACAACAAACUUCUAGAGCUAAAUAUUUUUAAAAUGAUGUGAGGCUAAUGUGCACAGGAACAUAAAUAGUAUUUCGCCCUUUCUUCCAUGCAGAGGUGGGACCAAGUCAUUGUUUUGCAAGUCUCAAGUAAGUCUCAAGUCUUUAUCCUCAAGUCUCAAGUCAAGUCUCAAGUAAUGUCAGGCAAGUCAGAGUCGAGUCUCAAGUCACUGGUGUAAAAGUCCGAGUCAAGUCACAAGUCUGAAACUUUGAAUUUCAAGUCCUUUCGAGUCAUUCAAAAAAACGAAAAAAAGCAUGUUGCAGUUAUAUGCUAAAUGUAAAUAUUAGACCAUGUAAUUUUUAAAUCUGUGUUUUUCUCAACACAUGACAAAAUAGUGAACUUAGAAAAUAUACACAAAUUGUGAAAUUGCACCUCUUUAAAAUGCAGCUCAAUUAAACUUAGCUCCAAGAAUAAUUUUCACCGACAGUUCUGAGAUAAGCUGCAUGUUAUUCUUGGAUGCGCUUGUAGGACCGGCUUUAAAAUCGCAUGACAAAAAUAUCAUACACAUUAAAAAAAACUGCAUCACCAACGUAGCCUGGACAACAUUUGCUAGUUAGAUGAAGUCAGCUAUCUCAUCGUAGCAUAUUUAUAUGCAUAUUUAUAAUCAUACGGUUCUUGGAGUGAGUGCAUACACUCAUGAAGUUUAGUAACUUCCGGUCACUGCAACAAGCCCAGGUACAGUUUACCGACGGAUGGGUGCAGGACCAAGAAACGCACCGUGUAGAACGAAAGACCAUCGUACGUAUCAUAAGUUUACCAGUCUCACAAACUGUCGUCAUAAAUACACAUUCCUUAACCGUUUAUUAAUAGGACCUUUGAGCUCAACGAUAAUUAAUUAGUAGUGGAAAUAAUUUCUGGUAGCAUCACAGAAAUGUAGCAGUGACAAUAAUAUUGUAUGCUGUAAUCGUACUGGGCAAUUAGUGAUACAAAAACCUGUUUUAUCCUGUGAAUAAAAGUAUGUGUUUUUGUCAAUGUACCAUAAUAACAGAAGCGAAACGCAAUAUUGUGUCAGGACAAUUCACUAUUUAUGCACAAUAAAUAAAGGAGCAUAGCGCGACAAUUUCUGUUCAGUGCCAGACUUGCUUGUAACCUAUAUCACCAAUUAUGUUAUGAAAAUGACGUAUUAACUACUAAAAAACACUGACCUUCGUGUAAAUGCUUGGAGCAGACUAACCUGUGAGCUGGAGGGUUCUGGGACGUUAUAUUUGAUCUUUGAAUGGCUGCAAUCCAGGCCAUCCGUCGCGUCUUUGUUACUUCGGAAACAUGGCUCGAACAAUUUCUCUUCAACGACGUAAUCCGAUAACAACCGAUCUCUUUACCCGUCGGCUUCCCGUGGCUGUCAUGCGACCGGCUAUUGCAGUUAAUAAUACAACAGCUUCUUGACAUUUUUGUGUUUCUUUUUAUCGCUGUAUAACUGAUUUCAAUUGAAAGUCUGUGUGCGCUAGUACCUCUUGCCACGAGUUCCCAGAAUCCUUUGCGGUUCUACCCGUGAAUGACGUCACAUUUUCAAUCUCUAUAUAAUAUGCAUGUUAAAUUUUAUAUUUGGGGUAAAAUAUCAAGUCUUUUCAAGUAAACAGGUUCAAGUCCAAUUCAAG
ensembl:lncRNA